rnacentral:lncRNA from 1 species
UUUUGAGGGGGGUGCGAGCCCGGGAGAGGACAAGAGUCCUUGCAGAUCCAUGGGAAAUGUGACCAGAUGGAAAGCAGGCCUCUGCCAGCGCUGUCCAAAAGAACUAUAAUGCGAGCCACACGUAUCAUUUAAAAUUUUCUGGAGCCACAUUAAAAGAAGAAAAUGAAACAGGUCCCACAGUGACCCCAGGAGCCGGGUUCUGUUACCUUCAUUCCCAUUGUGCAGGUGGGAAACAGCGCACCAAGGCCAAGGGCCAUCGAUCAUGCUGGAGAGUCAGAGCCGGCCAAGAGGUUGAGAAGAGCUGGUGAUGUGGGAUGACCGUGUCCCACUACAAAGACUAAGAGCCAUCACUUGCCAUCAGUUACUGAGUGCCAGCUAUAUUACAGAUGCGAAGGCCUGCAUCCAGCUAGACUCUAACAUGAGCCAUCCACGUGACCCUCGGCAAGCGUCUUUAACCCUUCCAAGCUUCGCUUCCUUCCUCCAAAAUGGAAAUCAUCCCUCCUACAGAUUUACGUUUGUGAUGUGUGUGUGUUUUAAGAAGUCUAAAGUAGGAUACCAAAGUGACGGAACUGGUCAUGGGAAUAUUAAAAGUUGGC